AUUGAACGCUGGCGGCAGGCCUAACACAUGCAAGUCGAGCGGCAGCGGGAAAGUAGCUUGCUACUUCUGCCGGCGAGCGGCGGACGGGUGAGUAAUGCCUGGGAAAUUGCCCAGUCGAGGGGGAUAACAGUUGGAAACGACUGCUAAUACCGCAUACGCCCUACGGGGGAAAGCAGGGGCACUUCGGGCCUUGCGCGGUUGGCUAUGCCCAGGUGGGAUUAGCUAGUUGGUGAGGUAAUGGCUCACCAAGGCGACGAUCCCUAGCUGGUCUGAGAGGAUGAUCAGCCACACUGGAACUGAGACACGGUCCAGACUCCUACGGGAGGCAGCAGUGGGGAAUAUUGCACAAUGGGGGAAACCCUGAUGCAGCCAUGCCGCGUGUGUGAAGAAGGCCUUCGGGUUGUAAAGCACUUUCAGCGAGGAGGAAAGGUCGGUAGCUAAUACCUGCUGGCUGUGACGUUACUCGCAGAAGAAGCACCGGCUAACUCCGUGCCAGCAGCUGCGGUAACAC
rnacentral:rRNA from 1 species